rnacentral:snRNA from 1 species
GGAUGUGAGGGCGAUCUGGCUGCGACAUCUGUCACCCCACUGAUCGCCAGGGUUGAUUCGGCUAAUCUGGCUGGCUAGGCGGGUGUCCCCUUCCUCCCUCACCGCUCCAUGUGCGUCUCUCCCGAAGCUGUGCGCUCGGUCGAAGAGGACGACCUUCCCCGAUAGAGGAGGACCGUUCUUCGGUCAAGGGUAUACAAGUAGCUGCGCUCCCCUGCUAGAACCUCCAAACAAGCUCUCAAGAAACAAAAGAAAGAAAGACAAGACACGGAUUUAAAAAAUAUAUAAAACCACAAAAAACUUUUAAAUCUCUUUGAUUUUUCUUUUUU